CUGAAGACAACGGCAAGUUAUAUUGGUCUGAGAUUGAUACUGGCAACAUAUACAGGGUUAAUGUGAACGACAAAUCUGUCAUCAACGUGAACAGCGGUGAAACACUCGAAAAACCAAGACACCUUCUGGUACUGCUACAGCAAAGAAAAUUAGCAUGGGUGUCUGGAGAAACAUGGGAAAUGGCGAUCCAAACGAUGAACAUGGACGGCACUGGACUGCUUGAUGUUGUCAAUGGCUUUUAUGAGAUUGGAGCACUUACAUUCGACCAAGAACAGCAAUUAUUCUACUUUUUGGAGCCAAGCGAGUAUACAAUUUACAGCAUCCCUGUAGACGGUUCCGACACACCAACAUCUGUUUAUACAUCAGCCCCAGAAAGUGCAUACAUUCUUA